rnacentral:rRNA from 1 species
AACGAACGCUGGCGGCAUGCCUAACACAUGCAAGUCGAACGAGACCUUCGGGUCUAGUGGCGCACGGGUGCGUAACGCGUGGGAACCUGCCCUUAGGUUCGGAAUAACUCCCCGAAAGGGGUGCUAAUACCGGAUAAUGUCUUCGGACCAAAGAUUUAUGGCCUUUGGAUGGGCCCGCGUUGGAUUAGCUAGUUGGUAGGGUAAAAGCCUACCAAGGCGACGAUCCAUAGCUGGUCUGAGAGGAGGAUCAGCCACACUGGGACUGCGACACGGCCCAGACUCCUACGGGAGGCAGCAGUGGAGAAUAUUGGACGAUGGGCGAAAGCCUGAUCCAGCAAUGCCGCGUGAGUGAUGAAGGCCGUAGGGUUGUAAAGCUCUUUUAGCCGGGAUGAUAAUGACAGUACCGGGAGAAUAAGCUCCGGCUAACUCCGUG